GUGUGGGGGCCGGGCGGGACCCACGGAUCUCCUCGGAUCCUCUUUUCUUGCACAUGGAAGUGGUCAGCUGGCUCUCUGAGUUAUUCUAAACGAGCUCAAGCUGGUGAACAUAGACAACGGAGCAGAUGAAUGGGGGAAGUGGUCGAGCAGCCUUUAGCAACCAAAAUCUCAGACCAAGUAAUAGGAUUUGUUUCGGUUGAAGAGGCGGCGAUUCUUAAGUCUUAACUGCUACCCAUUCAUGCUACAUUCGGCAUCGAACCAACAGAAUGGGAAUCGAACUGGUGCAGUGAUGACAUUCCAGGAUAUGGUGAUUAGAGCAAGUAAAGGGGUGCUCAACUAUGCACCUGCUGACUGGAAGAAAAAUGAUGUUUCUGCCCCUGAAGAACAAGAUCUGAAUUCAAAUGACUCAGGGGAUCCUCUAGAUGUAUCAAUCUCGCCUGUGGAGCUUAACCCACCUAUGGAACCUGCGGCCACCUCUAUUUGCGCACAAAAUGAUGAGGUAGAAACUCCACAAAAUGAUGAGGCAGAAACUCCACAACAAUUUCAACCGGAGAGGAUGCUGCAGGCCAAGAUGGUUCAGUGCCAUUUGUAACACGAAAUGAUGAGGCAAUGAAUGAUUCAAAUAACCCUACAACUAUAAGUUCAGAUUCUGGAGCUCAGCCAUGGCCUAAGGGGUAAGCAUGUGUGGCCUAAGAGGAACUAUGCAGCUGCGGACUGGCAGGAAAAUGACAUUUCUGCGCCUGAAGAACAAGAACUGAAUUCAAUUGAUUCAGAAGUUCCUCUGGAUGUAGGGAGCUCCACUGCUGAGCUUAAGUCACCUAUGGAAGCUGCGGGCACCUAAAUUUGAUAAGCAGCUCAGAACCAGCAAUGGGAUUUAUUUCGGUUGAAUAGGCAUCCAUUCUUAACUGCUACCGAUUCAUGCUGCAUUCACCCUUGAACCACCAGUUUGGGAAUCAAAUUGGUCUAUGCCUUCUAUUUGAUUUUAAGAAGUCGGUUUUGAACCAUUUCAGUUGCUUCCAUGCUGUUGUUCUAACGAUUGUUUUUCAGACUUCAUUUUGGAUUUCUUCUCGAGCAAAUCAGGUGCAAGAAUGACAUUCCAGGAUAUGGUAAUGAGAGCAAGUAAAGUAGUGCUCAACUAUGCAGCUGAUGACUGGUAGGGGGAAGCUGUUUCUGGGUCUGUAGAACAAGAUCUAACCUCAAAUGAUUCAAGAGUUCAUCUGGAUGUACCAAGCCCCCCUGCGAAGUUUAACUCACCUAUGGAAGCUGCAUCUUCCUCCUUUUGCGCAGAAGACAAUGGCAGAAACUCCACAGCACUUUCAGCAGGAGAUGUGGCUGCAGACUCGGAUGGUUCAGUGCCAUUAGCCAGACAAAUUGAAGAGCACAAAUCAUGGUGUUGAUUCUGCCAUUGGUGGAGAGAACAGCACUGAUACCAACAGUUCUAAAAAAGCAUUGAUUACAACAUCAAACAAAAUACUGCAGAAGCUAGAUUAUCUAAGAAUGAAGGAAGAGGUUUCCAAAGGAUGGACCUGAUGCAGCACCACUUAGGCAAUUCAGUGUCAAUGAAAAGCAAGCAAAUAUUUGAGCCAACCAUAGGGAUGGCAUUUGACUGUGUUCAUGAAGCCCAAGAAUUUUGUUUUUUGUUGCGUGGUGACAUGGGAGGGGGUGUCUGAACUGUACCCUUUUCUUUUUGCGAAAGUCUGAACUGGACUUUGGUGGUGUGUUGCCAAAGGCAUUGCUGUAAUGGUAUUAAAUCUCAAUGGUUUCAAGUAGAACUGUUUAGUGGUUGUAAAUUGUAAUGGUUUGCUAGUGUGAGGACCUGAGAACUGUAAGCAUUGAUAAAUGCAAAUUGGUUUGUAAUUCACGCACUAUAUUUAUCAGCUGUUUAGUGGAA